AGUGAACGCUGGCGGUGGGCCUAACACAUGCAAGUCGAACGGCAGCACAGUAAGAGCUUGCUCUUACGGGUGGCGAGUGGCGGACGGGUGAGGAAUACAUCGGAAUCUACUUUUUCGUGGGGGAUAACGUAGGGAAACUUACGCUAAUACCGCAUACGACCUACGGGUGAAAGCAGGGGAUCUUCGGACCUUGCGCGAUUGAAUGAGCCGAUGUCGGACUAGCUAGUUGGCGGGGUAAAGGCCCACCAAGGCGACGAUCCGUAGCUGGUCUGAGAGGAUGAUCAGCCACACUGGAACUGAGACACGGUCCAGUCUCCUACGGGAGGCAGCAGUGGGGAAUAUUGGACAAUGGGCGCAAGCCUGAUCCAGCCAUACCGCGUGGGUGAAGAAGGCCUGCGGGUUGUAAAGCCCUUUUGUUGGGAAAGAAAGGCAGCAGGUUAAUACCCCGCUGUUCUGACGGUACCCAAAGAAUAAGCACCGGCUAACUUCGU
rnacentral:rRNA from 1 species